rnacentral:tRNA from 1 species
GCGCCCGUAGCUCAGCUGGAUAGAGCGCCACCCUCCGAAGGUGGAGGCCACACGUUCGAA